rnacentral:rRNA from 1 species
GAUGAACGCUGGCGGCGUGCUUAACACAUGCAAGUCGAACGAUGAACCUCACUUGUGGGGGGAUUAGUGGCGAACGGGUGAGUAACACGUGAGUAACCUGCCCUUGACUCUGGGAUAAGCCUGGGAAACCGGGUCUAAUACUGGAUACGACCUUCUGGCGCAUGCCAUGUUGGUGGAAAGCUUUUGUGGUUUUGGAUGGACUCGCGGCCUAUCAGCUUGUUGGUGGGGUAAUGGCCUACCAAGGCGACGACGGGUAGCCGGCCUGAGAGGGUGACCGGCCACACUGGGACUGAGACACGGCCCAGACGCCUACGGGAGGCAGCAGUGGGGAAUAUUGCACAAUGGGCGCAAGCCUGAUGCAGCGACGCCGCGUGAGGGAUGAAGGCCUUCGGGUUGUAAACCUCUUUCAGUAGGGAAGAAGCCGGCUUUUGGGUUGGUGACGGUACCUGCAGAAGAAGCGCCGGCUAACUACGUG